rnacentral:rRNA from 1 species
AUUGAACGCUGGCGGCAGGCCUAACACAUGCAAGUCGAACGAGUGGCGGACGGGUGAGAAAUGUCUGGGAAACUGCCUGAUGGAGGGGGAUAACUACUGGAAACGGUUGCUAAUACAGCAUACCAUCAGAUGUGCCCAGAUGGGAUUAGCUUGUUGGUGGGGUAACGGCUCACCAAGGCGACGAUCCCUAGCUGGUCUGAGAGGAUGACCGGCCACACUGGAACGGGGACGCGGUCCAUGCGCCUGCGGGAGGCAGCAGUGGGGAAUAUUGCGCAGUGGGCGCAAGCCUGAUGCAGCCAGGCGGCGUGUGUGAAUGAGGCCUUCGGGUUGUAAAGUACUUUCAGCGGGUGGGCGUUACCCGCAGAAGAAGCACCGGCUAACUCCGUGCCAGCAGCCGCGGUAAUUC